rnacentral:rRNA from 1 species
ACUACCCUCAGGUGCGAAAGCGUGGGGAGCCAACCAGAUUAGAUUACCUGGUAGUUCCCCCCGUUAACGAAGUUGAAUUGGAAGUUGUGUCCUUGAGGCGUGGCUUUCGGAACUUACGCGUUAAGUCGACCCCCUGGGGAGUUCGGCCCCAAGGUUAAAACUCAAAUGGAAUGACGGGGGGCCGCCCCAACGGUGGGGCAUGUGGUUUAAAUUGAUGCAACGCGAAGAACCUUACCUUCUCUUGACAUUCCAAGUACUUAACAGAGAUGCUUUGGUUCCUUCGGGAAAUUUGAAACAGGUGCCGCAUGGCCGUUGUCAACUCGUGUUUUGAAAUGUUGGGUUUAGUUCCGCAACGAGCGCCAACCUUAUCCUUUGUUGCCAGCGAGUAAGGUCGGGAACUCAAAGGAGACUGCCGGUGAUAAACCGGAGGAAGGUGGGGAUGACGUCAAGUCAUCAUGGCCCUUACGAGUAGGGCUACACACGUGCUACAAUGGCGUAUACAAAGGGAAGCGACCCCGCGAGGGCAAGCGGAACUCAUAAAGUACGUCGUAGUCCGGAUUGGAGUCUGCAACUCGACUCCAUGAAGUCGGAAUCGCUAGUAAUCGUAGAUCAGAAUGCUACGGUGAAUACGUUCCCGGUCCUUGUACACACCGCCCGUCACACCAUGGGAGUGGGUUGCAAAAGAAGUAGGUAGCUUAACCUCGGGAGGGCGCUACCACU